GAAUAGGCAUGCAUUCCCCCUAUUCUAGGGCCCACCACCGAACGGGCGUUUGGUUGCCCGUGUUGCUAUUACGGCCCGAUUCGGUUAUGGGGCUAUUACCUCCAUUGGCUUUAAUAGCCAUUCCGCUUAUGAUUCGGCGAUUAGGGAUUCUGCCAUUGUUUCCUAUUUUCUAUUCCAAUAGCUGCCCUCAUCAAGCUUCGUUCCAUUCGUUCCAUCGAUUCUCCCACAUUUCCCUUCCAGAGGUGCACUUCUACUACCGAUGACAGUCGUAUUGGUUUAUAUGCAACCUAGGCUACAAGUUUUCACUUCUUUAUGCAAAACUUCCUUGAAAGCCGUUGUUGGUUUUUGAAAUGACCAUGGGAGGUCUGCUAUUAAAUAUGUUCUAUACAGUAGGUUUUUGUUUAAAUACCUGGAAAUUGCUUUGACUCUCGUUUUUCUUGAAAUAUUCGUGUCUGACACAUUCACAUAUGAGUAUGAGUAUACUGGUGGCUAUUCUUAGGGAACUCGAACUGUUAAACUUUUCUGGGAGGUUAUGAAUGAUUUUGAGCCCAAAGAACGUUGUAUGCUGCUAAAAUUUGUGACCAGCUGUUCGUGAGCUCCUUUACUGUGGUUCAAAUACUUGCAGCUAGCUUUCACAAUUCAUAAGGUACGCUGUUAUAUCUGUUAAAAGUUUUCCCAAUUUCUACUUACAAAAAACAAAAGGAAGAAAUUUCCCAAGAUUUAAAAGAAAAAUCUAUUGUAAAGGGCAGGGGUGAACGAUAAUUGCAAAUGGAGAAAGGGUACACGACUAUCCUAAAAUCUCAUCUACAAUUGAAACUAAGUCAGGAAUCUUCUUGACCUUGUAUAUGUUGCAAGUGAUGCUCUUCUUUGGGCUGUAAUUGGAGGUUCAGAUGUCGAGCGACUUCCAUCCGCUUCUACAUGCUAUAACACUCUCAAGCUUCCAACAUACAAGCUGUCAAGUACUCUGAAAACAAAGCUUCGUUAUGCAGUUAAUUCUAAUGCUGGAUUUCAACUUUCUUAAGGAACUGAGAUUUUUAACUGGCGCAGGCUUUAUAACCAUGUCCAAGAGAGGCUGGUAUAUGUCGAAGACCACAAGUUUGAGACCAGGCAAUCUGUCCUGUAGGCUUAUUGACGUGCUGUUCAGUUUAUUGUUGAAGGCAAUGGCAUCUUGGUUUAACCUUGCAACACACUGAUUACUUCCAGCACCAAAUAGGGUGAUGGCUGCAGGUAAACAACCUGUUGGUGGUAAGGCAACCACCGUAUUCUGGGGACCAGAGUCCUUGGCUGCACCAAUCGAGGUAGAGAACACUGAUGCCAGGCCGUGCUGAAUUCGUAAGUUGGUCACCAAGAGUGGAUUCUAAACAGAAGAUGUGGAAUAGUCCGAAGAUUGCCCCAGCAUGGACUAACUCUCUUGUGAAAGGUUAUUAUGCUAAGCUUGGUGAAGGUGCUAUAGAUCAUCAAGAUUACUAUUAAACCUUUCACAAGAGAAACCUCCAGAAGAAAUUCACGGAGCAAGAAUGGGAAGAUUUCAGUCAGGAAUCUGCCCGAAAAGCCAUGGUGGAACUGGCAACUUCUCCGGAAUUCACAGAUUGGAUGAUUGAGCAUGCUGACAGGAUAAAAAUCCUUCCACGUGAUGAUAGUUCAGGUGAAUCAGUGGGAAGUAAAUCAAGUUCAGACGAUGAAGAUGAAGAAAGCCACAGCUGGUUCAGAUUAUUUUAACUUGUUUGACGAAAAUCGGAAUUGUUCAUGAAGUAUGCGUGUUUGACGUAGGGACGGAUGCAUGAUCCAGGAAAAUUUAGAAAAAUUGAACAUACUCAUGCCAGUAAUAUAUUAUCUGAUACUUCCAUACAUUA